CAUGGUUUAGAGAAGAGAACAGAAAACACAUUAUUGACCGGGGAAUCGCAGGAGAGGAAGUGCCGAGAAGAUGAUACACCGUAAGUGGAGUCUGUUGACGGGACCGGUUGCAAUAUUUGCUGGGAUAACUGUUGUCGUUACCUUGGCCAACCAUCUCUAUCUGAAGAACUCCGAACAAAGGAAGCAAGAUGCACAACCGCAAGCUUCAGCCAAGUAGAAAUGUGAAGAUGAACAAUUUCUUUUGAAGGUUGCAGUUUGUAGAGGGUUUCGCUGAAGUAUGCCAUUUUGAAAGGUGUGUUUUUAAGUCCCAAUCUGGGACAAUGAGUAUUUUGUUGGUUAACAUUGAGAUUAAAUAAAAUUUGGAUGAGAUCUUAUGUUUUAUAUAA